GAGAGAGGUAUAAUACAAUAAGAACUGCUAACUCUUAUAACUGAAAUUAAAAUUCCAGCUCCCUCA
rnacentral:tRNA from 1 species